rnacentral:rRNA from 1 species
AAACUUGAGAGUUUGAUCCUGGCUCAGAAUGAACGCUGGCGGCAUGCCUAACACAUGCAAGUCGAACGAAGCCUUCGGGCUUAGUGGCGCACGGGUGCGUAACGCGUGGGAAUCUGCCCCUCGGUUCGGAAUAACAGUUAGAAAUGACUGCUAAUACCGGAUGAUGACGAAAGUCCAAAGAUUUAUCGCCGAGGGAUGAGCCCGCGUAGGAUUAGCUAGUUGGUGAGGUAAAAGCUCACCAAGGCGACGAUCCUUAGCUGGUCUGAGAGGAUGAUCAGCCACACUGGGACUGAGACACGGCCCAGACUCCUACGGGAGGCAGCAGUGGGGAAUAUUGGACAAUGGGCGAAAGCCUGAUCCAGCAAUGCCGCGUGAGUGAUGAAGGCCUUAGGGU